rnacentral:rRNA from 1 species
AUGAAGCUGAAGGAACCAUUGUUCCACAGCGGGCCGAUCCCCCCGAACGUCUUCAAGGUUUCCGUGGCCAGUGUCAAACCGGGCCACGAGAAUUUGCCUCCUCUGGUACUAGUGGGGGAUGACGACGAGACCCCGCGGCGGCUUGGUGAUUGUUGCAAUGGAUGGGUCCUGUUGUGGCCAAAGAGUUUGCUUCGUCUCGAGACGGCCGGGAGCACACCCAUGAGUGUGCAGUUAGGUAUGAACAUCAACACCUCACCUACCCAAUUAGCGUCGGCUGUCGUGCUGGGUGAUAGAGGAGGGGGUGAGGAAAAGGUUCCAUUAGUGCCUGGUGACGUCGCCAUAGAUGAGGAUGAGGAUGACGAUGGCACUCAACAGUAUGUCUAUACUGGCGCCUACUUAGGGUUUGAGCGUCAUGAGUCGGUGCCUGAAUUGCCAUCUCCGGAGGCUGAACGUAUUAUGGAAGAUCUUUCGGUAGUAAAGAAGUCUAGGAAGAGAACGAGGAAAGGCAAAAAAGAUGAUUCUAUGAUCCAGCCGCCUCAGCAGCCUCGGGUUCAAGACCGUAUAGAUAUCCCUAGUGCGGAUAAAUGGAAUAUCCCCGGUCAAUCAAUCCUACCUACAGCAGCGCUAUGGGCCAGAUUCGACGAUCUAAGGAGACUUCAUAACGAUGUGUUGCGGAUAGAGAAAGGCCUCAUCGCCUCGAAAGAUCCAGGAUACCCACUCUACAUGGUUAACGUUCAGCGGCAAUUGUCGUACGUCGACUUCUUCCCCGCGGAUAAGUUCUUCCUUCGUUUCGAUUACAUAUUCGACAUGUUUCACGUAAAGAAGCUGGAUUUUACGUUUGUCCGCCUUUAUGCCUUGCACAUGAACUACAUCAUCGGGGUUGAGCAGAUACCCCAUAUCUGUGUCGCUAACCCAUACUUCCUGCACGAGGGCUUCUUGGGAGUCUGCGCAAAGCACCGUGAAUACGCGAGGGAAUACAUCGCCAAUUUCAAUCUCGCUAAUAAGGACAAGGAGGCGACUCUCGUGCCUUAUCAUCCCCUCGGCGAGCGUGCCGUCCUCAUCACCCUCUACCCCCGAUACUCCCAUGCUCUUUACUUGGACUCGUCGAAGAACAUUAACAAAAAGGAUUACACCCACAUCAAAGAUGUUCUCGACAGCGCUAUCUUUCACUACGGCGCACGGGGUGGAGAGGUCAAGGACAAGAAGAGAAGGGAGGGCAGGCCCGCCUUCGGCCAUAAGACCGACUUCUGUUGCAUCCAGCAACCGAGUGAUUCUCUUAAUGAUGGAUUCUAUGUCCUACACCACAUGCUGGAGUACAGACGGGAUCACCAGAACCUUCGCAUGUCAGCUAAAUCUGGCGAUGCCCAUAUUCUGCAAUGGGCAAAGAACAUAGGAGAUAUCGAGGAUCAUCGACUUCGAGCUGAGUUCUAUCACAUCCAGCGCGAACUUGCCCAAAUCAUCAUGAAGGAGGUCGUCGGAAAAACAGGGAUGUUCUACGAAGAAGGACAAAUGUCGCGGGAAGAUGUCCGAACACGGGUAGCCUCUCAGCGUCUCGACCUGAAGCCUUUUCACUAG